ACACAUAAAAUGAGGAACUACUACAAAGGCAUGAUGCAUGACUCCUACAGGGCAGAAGCUGAGAUUUCAUCACACAGCCUAGAAUGGUAUAAAUAGAUGGACACUUGGGGUAUUCUGUGGAUAUCCGUGGACGUGUCUUUCACCAUUUGCUAUUACUGAGAGUCAGAAGAAAAACUGCUUUUCAAAUAUACACAUAAAUGAAAUAUGGGAAGAAACAACAUAGCCCAAGUUUGACAGUCCUAUAUGUUUAUAUUAUGGCUUCCAGUUUAGUGCUUUUACGGGGAUUCCUGAGUGUGCAAACAGAGCUGAAAAUUGCAUCUGUUCAUUAAGCAUUCCAAGAAGCUGAAAGUAUAAAAAAGUAGUUACAGCUAAUAAUUACGUAUAAUUCCCCAGAUGUUUUUCUAACCGAAUCCAAAGGAUAGACCUAUGAGGAAAAGGACUUUUGGGAUGCACUGGAAGAUAACUGACUUGAGUUCAUUGACAAGACAUAGUCAAAACAUAGGAGGGUGACUACUUGGAUAUGACACAAGACCCCAACUGGGUGUAGCAGUGGCAUUAUUCCAUUAACAUCAGUCUUCUAUAUAUCAGUUUGUGUACUAUUGCAUUAAUACUGUCAAUCACAACUGAUGGAAAGAGAUACUAUGCUAAAUCAUCUAUGUGCAUCAAAGCCUGCUGAGACAAGUUGUAGCAUGCCACAAAUUUUAAAAGAGACAGGAUCCUAGCAUGGCUGUCCUCUGAGAGACUGUCCCAGCAGCUGACUGAAACAUAUACAGAUACUCACAGCCAACCACUGGACUGAAGUCAUGGACACCUAUGGAACAAUUAGGGGAAGGAUUGAAGGAACUGAGCAUGAGCGUUCAGAUAUGGUGUGGAAACGUUUUUGGUAAACAGAGCACUCAAGCCUUUCUGCUCCACAAGGACAAAGUUAAUAUGCAGAGUUAACCCUUCCCGUUAAGAAUGGAGAGGAGAACAAGCCUUGAAAAUGGACCUUGUGGGGUCUUCACAGAGGUGAACGAGGAGCGAGAAUUAGAGGUCAGACUCUCCAGGAUGCAGUUCUCGCUCCCGGUCCUACAGUUCUCAAACUUCAUGUUGACAGUACCUAAUGAGUUUCAACAUUUUUAGGAAAGAAAACUUGAAGAAUCUCCUUUGUAUGGAGUCAAAGAAGGCUGUGAAAUAUGAUGGUCUUAUAAAUGGCUUUUCAUUAUCAUAUCAUCAAAGACCAUGAUGCCAACAAGAUGAAAAGAAUAUCCCUCAAACUUUCAAGCUACAAUAUCAUGAAAUGGUGCAUCAAAGCCCAUGGGAGACAAAAGUUUGGACUUAGAGUGCUGUGUGGAUACCUGUUUCUCUCAGCAAAAUAAUUCAGCCAUUGUAAUUAUUUUUAACAGAAUUGGGCUUCACACUGUGGGAUAAUGAGCUGGAAAAUGUAUUUGUUUUAAAUAAAGGCAUUUUCACACUACA
rnacentral:lncRNA from 1 species